rnacentral:rRNA from 1 species
AUGGCCAACAGGACAUGUUCUGCUUCUGUCUCCUCACUCUUUGCUUCAUCUCGGCCACAAGGAUGGGCAGAGCUCCCGGACGACCUGCUCCGACCCGUUGUCGCUCUACUACGUUCGUUCCGUGACCUCCUCGCCUUCGGUACCACUUGUCGUCAUUGGUGUGAUCUUCUCUCAGCACACAGGUCUUCUGUCCAGCCUCUGCCCCUCCACCCCAAUCUCCGUACCGACGAUGGACAGUCUCUCUCGCAUAACUGUUGGACCUUAUUCCACAAAUGCACAUGGAGAUUGGCUGACCCUGCUGCCACCUCAUCUUCUCGCAGUUUUCUUUCCUUGAGUGACCUCAGAAGCAUGACCUUUCUGCGCUGCUCCUACGGUCAGCUCAUCUUCUACCACAACAAUGGGUUCCAUAUUGUUAACCCAUUCAGUGGCGCUAAGGUUGGUCCUCCUUCCCUCCGGUCAGUUCCCUUCACUUGUAUCAGCUAUGUCACCUUAACUGCCCCUGUUGCAUCUGCUGACUCGCAUCUCCUUGUCGGUGCUGGAGCCUAUCUGUUCCUGUGGCGCAUCGGGGGCGACUCUUGGACAAAACACAGUCCUAAAGUUGGUCGUUUUUUGAUUGAACAAAGUGUGGCCUUCAAGGGCAAGACAUAUGCCCUAGGGUCUUUCGGGUGGUUCUACAUCAUUCACUUGUCACCCAGUCUCAUUAUUCAGAAGUUUAAAAUUGUGUUUGAGGAAGAUAUAACUGAAGAUCUCUGUUCGGCAAAUGACAAGGCAUGGUUAGUGAUUUGUGGUGAUGCACUUCUCUUGAUCAAACUUGUGGAGGCGGGAAGAGGGAUGCGCUCGGAGGCCUUCCAGUUCAUGGCCUUCAAGCUUGAGUCAUUCGACACCAUGACCAAGAAGGCAAGGUGGGUGAAAGUGAACAAGUUAGAUAACUGGGCCAUCUUUAUCAGCGUUGACGAGCGGUGCGAGGCGUUGUCGUGCAUGAACCCGGAGGGAUGGGGAGGAAGGAACAACCACAUAUACUUCCCAAGUUAUCAGUCUGAAAAACCUUGGGCUGCAGUCCAACUAUGGAAAAAAUGUUAUUACCGUUCGAUGUGUUUGCAGCUCUUCAACACUGGAAGACGGUACCUGAAAUUGGAGUCAACCUGGGUCUUUCCCGCGCGUUUCCUCGUUCCGGCCUGCGAUGAUCUUACGGCUGUGAGUGUGGUUGGUGAUUGGCUUCUGAUACAGCUUUGGUGGGAGGAUUCUACAAUGUUGCAGUCGCGGGAUGAGUAG